rnacentral:rRNA from 1 species
AACGAACGCUGGCGGCAGGCUUAACAUAUGCAAGUCGAACGAGAUCUUCGGAUCUAGUGGCAGACGGGUGAGGAACACGUGGGAACAUCCCUUUCAGUUCGGAAUAACGUUGGGAAACUAACGCUAAUACCGGAUACGUCCUUCGGGAGAAAGAUUUAUCGCUGAAAGAUUGGCCCGCGUCUGAUUAGCUAGUUGGUGAGGUAACGGCUCACCAAGGCUACGAUCAGUAGCUGAUCUGAGAGGAUGAUCAGCCACAUUGGGACUGAGACACGGCCCAAACUCCUACGGGAGGCAGCAGUGGGGAAUAUUGGACAAUGGGCGCAAGCCUGGUCCAGCCAUGCCGCGUGAGUGAUGACGGCCUUCGGGUUGUAAAGCUCUUUUGUCCGGGAAGAUAAUGACUGUACCGGAAGAAUAAGCCCCGGCAAACUUCGUGCCAGCCGCCGCAGUAA